rnacentral:rRNA from 1 species
UACGUAGGGUGCAAGCGUUGUCCGGAAUUAUUGGGCGUAAAGAGCUCGUAGGCGGUUUGUUGCGUCGGCUGUGAAAUCCCGAGGCUCAACCUCGGGUCUGCAGUCGAUACGAGCAAACUAGAGUGUUGCAGGGGAGACUGGAAUUCCUGGUGUAGCGGUGAAAUGCGCAGAUAUCAGGAGGAACACCGGUGGCGAAGGCGGGGUCUCUGGGGCAACAACUGACGCUGGAGGAGCGAAAGCCGUGGGGGAGCGAACAGG